GAGUUUGAUUCUGGCUCAAACGAACGCUGGCGGCGUGGAUAAGACAUGCAAGUCGAACGAGAAACUGCAUGAAGCUUGCUUUGAGUAGUUUCUAGUGGCGAACGGGUGAGUAACACGUGAGCAACCUGCCUGGAAGAGGGGCAUAGCCUGGGGAAACUCGGAUUAAUACCGCAUGUGAUCCCUCCUGGCAUCAGGGGGUGAUUAAAGGUGGGGACCCUUCGGGGCCUACCACUUCCAGAUGGGCUCGCGGUCUAUCAGCUUGAUGGUGGGGUAACGGCCUACCAUGGCUCCGACGGAUAGCUGGUCUGAGAGGAUGGUCAGCCACACUGGAACUGAGACACGGUCCAGACACCUACGGGUGGCAGCAGUCGAGAAUCAUUCGCAAUGGGCGAAAGCCUGACGGUGCGACGCCGCGUGGAGGAUGAAGGUCUUCGGAUUGUAAACUCCUGUCAUCAGGGAGUAAGUGAGUGGUUUCGAAUAGGGAUCGCUUUUGCUAGUACCUGAAGAGGAAGAGACGGCUAACUCUGUGCCAGCAGCCGCGGUAAUACAGAGGUCUCAAGCGUUGUUCGGA
rnacentral:rRNA from 1 species